rnacentral:rRNA from 1 species
CGGACGGGUGAGUAACGCGUGAGAAUCUGGCUUCAGGUCUGGGACAACCACUGGAAACGGUGGCUAAUACCGGAUGUGCCGAGAGGUGAAAGGUUAACUGCCUGAAGAUGAGCUCGCGUCUGAUUAGCUAGUUGGAAGUGUAAUGGACUCCCAAGGCGACGAUCAGUAGCUGGUCUGAGAGGACGAUCAGCCACACUGGGACUGAGACACGGCCCAGACUCCUACGGGAGGCAGCAGUGGGGAAUUUUCCGCAAUGGGCGAAAGCCUGACGGAGCAAUACCGCGUGAGGGGGGAAGGCUCUUGGGUCGUAAACCUCUUUUCUCAGGGAAGAACACAAUGACGGUACCUGAGGAAUAAGCAUCGGCUAACUCCGUGCCAGCAGCCGCGGUAAUACGGAGGAUGCAAGCGUUAUCCGGAAUGAUUGGGCGUAAAGCGUCCGCAGGUGGCGAUGUAAGUCUGCUGUUAAAGCGUCUAGCUCAACUAGAUAAAAGCAGUGGAAACUACAUAGCUAGAGUGCGUUCGGGGCAGAGGGAAUUCCUGGUGUAGCGGUGAAAUGCGUAGAGAUCAGGAAGAACACCGGUGGCGAAGGCGCUCUGCUAGGCCGUAACUGACACUGAGGGACGAAAGCUAGGGGAGCGAAUGGGAUUAGAUACCCCAGUAGUC